rnacentral:rRNA from 1 species
AACAGGGAUUGCCUCAGUAACGGCGAGUGAAGCGGCAACAGCUCAAAUUUGAAAUCUGGCCCCCUGCGGUGUCCGAGUUGUAAUUUGUAGAGGAUGCUUCGGCGUUGGCCCCGGCCUAAGUUCCUUGGAACAGGACGUCACAGAGGGUGAGAAUCCCGUACGUGGCCGGUGUCCCUCGCCAUGUGAAGCUCCUUCGACGAGUCGAGUUGUUUGGGAAUGCAGCUCUAAAUGGGAGGUAUAUUUCUUCUAAAGCUAAAUACCGGCCAGAGACCGAUAGCGCACAAGUAGAGUGAUCGAAAGAUGAAAAGCACUUUGGAAAGAGAGUCAAAAAGUACGUGAAAUUGUUGAAAGGGAAGCGCUUGCAACCAGACCUGUCCGCGGUCGCUCAUCCAGGCUCCUGCCUGGUGCACUCUUCAGCGGUCAGGCCAGCAUCGGUUCGGGCGGUCAGACAAAGGCGGCGGGAAUGUGGCUCCCCUCGGGGAGUGUUAUAGCCCGCCGCAUAAUGUGGCCAGUCCGGACCGAGGUCCGCGCUUCGGCUAGGAUGCUGGCGUAAUGGUUGUAAGCGGCCCGUCUUGAAACACGGACCAAGGAGUCUAACAUCUAUGCGAGUGUUUGGGUGUCAAGCCCGGGCGCGCAAUGAAAGUGAACGGAGGCGGGAACCUUUGGGUGCACCGUCGACCGAUCCUGAUGUCUUCGGAUGGAUUUGAGUAAGAGCAUAGCUGUUGGGACCCGAAAGAUGGUGAACUAUGCCUGAAUAGGGUGAAGCCAGAGGAAACUCUGGUGGAGGCUCGCAGCGGUUCUGACGUGCAAAUCGAUCGUCAAAUUUGGGCAUAGGGGCGAAAGACUAAUCGAACUAUCUAGUAGCUGGUUCU